CGGGGGGCGGCUGGUGAUCGUGCUCACAGUGCCUCUUCCCUCUGCCCGGGAGACUGCAGCAGUACCGCCGCGGGGGGCUUCUCCCUCUGGCCUCCGCCGCGGGCCGCAGCUGGAAAGUAUCCAGUUAUUCAGCAGUGUCGAGAUCGUUGCAGAAUGCCCGCAGCAGAUCCUGCUGUUCUGGAUAAUCCCAUGUUUGUCUUCAUCGAAGAAUUUAUGAAAUCCAAAGAUGACUCUGUACUCAUCUGUGGUCAUUUUGUGCUGAAAAUAAAUUCGCAUACUGUUCUGCGGGUCUUUUUGCGUUUUUCUAGCUACCAUUUACAGUUAUUAGCAAGGCAAAAGUUUAAUAAGUUUUCUGAUGGUUGCUGGCUGGCUGGAGACAUGCGAGACAGUGAGAGGGAUGAGUCCUGGCACAGCUUUUCCAGUGUCAGAGCGCAUCCUAUUGAACUGGUGCUAGUGGAGCAGCAGGUCCCCUAGUACAUCAUUCUCUAAUUAGCACAGUCGUUCAUUUUCCUCAGACCACAGCAAAAUUACUGUGUUUGGAUGACGUGACUAUGAUAUCAUAGGGCUGCAGAGUGACUAGUGCUGUUACAGGAACCAAAAAGCACUCACCUCUUUUAGCUUUAUGGAUACAUUGGGGUUACCGGGUCUCAGCUGCUCUUGUUAGGAGU